UACGUGGGGGGCAAGCGUUGUCCGGAAUCAUUGGGCGUAAAGCGCGUGUAGGCGGCCCGAUAAGUCCGCUGUGAAAGUCCAGGGCUCAACCCUGGAAUGCCGGUGGAUACUGUCGGGCUCGAGUCCGGAAGAGGCGAGUGGAAUUCCUGGUGUAGCGGUGAAAUGCGCAGAUAUCAGGAGGAACACCGAUGGCGAAGGCAGCUCGCUGGGACGGUACUGACGCUGAGACGCGAAAGCGUGGGGAGCAAACAGG
rnacentral:rRNA from 1 species